GGAAAGUCGCCCGCAUCAGAGCCUAGGUCGCAGCCGCUGAGCAAGGGGCAGCCUCUACGGGCCCCCACCCCUCCCGGGCUGGACGAGGGCGGCAUCCAACAACUUUGCAACCUGAUCAUUGACCACCUCCUCGCGUUCGUCGUCCUCGAUGUCCGACCAUCAGAAAUGCACCGAUUUUGGGUCCCAUGUUAGAGUCAGACGGGGAGAGGCUCCGUCUACACGUCCCCCACCCCGCCCGAGCACGCCGACAGCGGCCUCCAUCGGCCAGUCGGCUGGGAUCUCACCGGGAGCGAGCAGGCUUACCAGUCGCCUGCACGUCAGUUGGCUUCGCAUCCGUAUCGAGCUAAUCUCAAAAUCGCAGGCGGAGGUCUCCCCAACGCUCUUCGCCUAAUUCUCGCUAUUUUCUUCCACCCUCUCCUUAUUUCCACUGCCUACACAUGGAAUCGUCGGAGAACCAACAGGAGAUGGAGCCGAUGCAAGAGCGAUCGUGCAAUCUUUCCACUAUGUUGACCUUGAAUGUUGACUCUUUCGAUGCCGAUGCAAGAUUGAUCGUGCAAUCUUUCCACUACCAGAUGUUGCAGUAGCAGAAAGAUGAGUUGGCGGUGACGGACUAUGAGGACGCACAUAGGCGGACACGGACGCGGAGGGGAAGGCUGCCUACGCAGCGGCGAUGACAGCUCCUUGACCAGGGAGCAGGCGACUGGUAUGCCAGUCCGGGAGGGUAGGAAUGCAUGGACUGCGAGAUUGAUGUUCUUCUGGAUUCAGGCAUGCAAAGAUUAAGCAUAUUUUUCGCUUUUUGGUUGUGAUCAGGCAUGCGAGGUGUGAUCUGAUACGAUAUGUGGAUCAAAGUAUAUUUGAAUUUGAAUUUACUGACGGGGAUAAAUAGGAUAGGUUUGGAUGGUGGCUUCCUGCAUCUGUGUCUGCGGACUAGUCUCCCAUGUUCGAAGAUGAAUGUGAAAAGAAAUUUGUG
rnacentral:lncRNA from 1 species